rnacentral:rRNA from 1 species
CCUACGGGAGGCAGCAGUGGGGGAUAUUGCACAAUGGGGGAAACCCUGAUGCAGCGACGCCGCGUGGGUGAAGAAGUAUUUCGGUAUGUAAAGCCCUAUCAGCAGGGAAGAAAGAAGACGGUACCUGACUAAGAAGCCCCGGCUAACUACGUGCCAGCAGCCGCGGUAAUACGUAGGGGGCGAGCGUUAUCCGGAUUCACUGGGUGUAAAGGGAGCGUAGACGGCCGUGCAAGCCAGGAGUGAAAGCCCGGGGCCCAACCCCGGGACUGCUCGUGGAACUGUGCGGCUGGAGUGCGGGAGGGGCAGGCGGAAUUCCUGGUGUAGCGGUGAAAUGCGUAGAUAUCAGGAGGAACACCGGCGGCGAAGGCGGCCUGCUGGACCGCGACUGACGUUGAGGCUCGAAAGCGUGGGGAGCGAACAGGAUUAGAUACCCCGGUAGUC